UACUGCAGCAUUCAAGGAGAAAGCACAAGGCAUUUUUAUUACUAGGGCUUUUCCCUCACCAAGACUCUCCAGUAACCCAGCCAUGCCCGUCUCCUCGCAUUAGACUAGCUGCAAACCCGCAUUGGAGCAACCCUGAAUAGCUGCUCAAAACCUUCUCCUCUUCCGUCUUCUCCUCCAGACUGCACGAGGAGCAGAGCUGCCCUUCUGCUGGGAUGACAGGUCACUGGCAGGUGCAGAGAAUGGUUGGUUAGCAUAGUUUGGAACUUAAAAUGAGGGUGCAAGUUAGCUCCACUGAAUGGCAAAUGUAUGCGGGCAGCUGCUCAGGCUGAACACAGGGUUAGACACAGCCAGGUGAGGCAGCACUGGUGGGGUUCUGGCUUCACGCAUCUGCUCAUCAGGUCUAUGUAAAUAAAGGGGUGGCACUGCGAAUUCUGCACAUGCUUACAUCUGAAUCCAAUCAGCUGGCACUCUAGGAAAAGCUGGUUUCCUACGGGUUCGUAGGGCCUGAGUUUAGGGAAAACGUUUGAGAACUGACUGUCCGAAAGUGAAAGCCUUGCAGCCCAAGCAACAGCUCAUUAAUAGCGAUCCCUCAUCGGACAAGGGGCAGCAAUAGUCUUAGAGUUCACAGCACCUGGAGUCAAAGGACGGUGAAAAUGCUCAUCAAGAAGCCACUCUUCCAAGUCUAGGGCCAAUCCCGGAAUGACUCAGGCACCGUUCCCACUAAAUCCAGGCAACGCCUACAAGAGCAGAGGCUGGGCUGGGUUUUGGUGGGACGUGCUUAGUUCCGGAAUGUGUUACAUUUUGUUACCCAGCUGGAAGACCUUUUCAAAAGGAGCUAACCCAGCCACGUGGGGCUGAAGCUAUGGUGGGCGUCACCAUUACACACAGCUGGACCCCAGGGUGACCGAGAACAGCGGAGACCACGCUGAUCACCUCUCCUGCAGCAGCUACACCAGCCAUGCCGACCUCCAGUGCGCCAUGCUACACCCAGUGAGCACCUGACGUUCCACUGGUGGCCACUCUGGAGACCCCUGCUGGACUCUGUGCUAAUUACAAGGAUUCUACUCUACUCUUAUUUAGCAGUCGAGAUUUUUAUGGGCGGCUAGCUGGCUGACCUUUUCUCACAUCAGAGUCGAGAUUUUUAUAGGCGGCUAGCUGGGUGACCUUUUCUCACAUCAGAUGCUUUCUGAUCAGGCCCCUCACCACAUUUCUUUUCAUGUUAUAAAGAUGCCAAAAUGGGGAAAA